GUGAGCCGACAGGGAGAGGUGGGGGAAGUCUUCUCCUGGGCUCCCUGAGCCCACGCAUGUCCUCACCCUACUGCUGGCUUGCAG
rnacentral:miRNA from 14 species